rnacentral:rRNA from 1 species
UAAGCUAUUAUACCGUGGAACUGCGAAUGGCUCAUUAAAUCAGUUAUCGUUUAUUUGAUAGUACCUUACUACUUGGAUAACCGUGGUAAUUCUAGAGCUAAUACAUGCUAAAAACCCCGACUUCGGGAGGGGUGUAUUUAUUAGAUAAAAAACCAACGCCCUUCGGGGCUCCUUGGUGAAUCAUAAUAACUUAACGGAUCGCAUGGCCUUGCGCCGGCGACGGUUCAUUCAAAUUUCUGCCCUAUCAACUUUCGAUUGUAGGGUAUUGGCCUACAAUGGUAUCAACGGGUAACGGGGAAUUAGGGUUCGAUUCCGGAGAGGGAGCCUGAGAAACGGCUACCACAUCCAAGGAAGGCAGCAGGCGCGCAAAUUACCCAAUCCCGACACGGGGAGGUAGUGACAAUAAAUACUGAUACAGGGCUCUUUUGGGUCUUGUAAUUGGAAUGAGUACAAUUUAAAUCCCUUAACGAGGAACAAUUGGAGGGCAAGUCUGGUGCCAGCAGCCGCGGUAAUUCCAGCUCCAAUAGCGUAUAUUAAAGUUGUUGCAGUUAAAAAGCUCGUAGUUGAACCUUGGGCCUGGCUGGCCGGUCCGCCUCACCGCGUGCACUGGUCCGGCCGGGCCUUUCCUUCUGGAGAGCCGCAUGCCCUUCACUGGGCGUGUCGGGGAACCAGGACUUUUACUUUGAAAAAAUUAGAGUGUUCAAAGCAGGCCUUUGCUCGAAUACAUUAGCAUGGAAUAAUAGAAUAGGACGUGCGGUCCUAUUUUGUUGGUUUCUAGGACCGCCGUAAUGAUUAAUAGGGAUAGUCGGGGGCAUCAGUAUUCAAUUGUCAGAGGUGAAAUUCUUGGAUUUAUUGAAGACUAACUACUGCGAAAGCAUUUGCCAAGGAUGUUUUCAUUAAUCAGUGAACGAAAGUUAGGGGAUCGAAGACGAUCAGAUACCGUCGUAGUCUUAACCGUAAACUAUGCCGACUAGGGAUCGGGCGAUGUUAUUAUUUUGACUCGCUCGGCACCUUACGAGAAAUCAAAGUU